rnacentral:rRNA from 1 species
UAAUACGGAGGGGGUUAGCGUUGUUCGGAAUUACUGGGCGUAAAGCGUACGUAGGCGGAUUGGAAAGUAGGGGGUGAAAUCCCAGGGCUCAACCCUGGAACUGCCUCCUAAACUAUCAGUCUAGAGUUCGAGAGAGGUGAGUGGAAUUCCAAGUGUAGAGGUGAAAUUCGUAGAUAUUUGGAGGAACACCAGUGGCGAAGGCGGCUCACUGGCUCGAUACUGACGCUGAGGUACGAAAGUGUGGGGAGCAAACAGGAUUAGAUACCCUGGUAGUCCACACCGUAAACGAUGAAUGCCAGACGUCGGGGGGCUUGCCCUUCGGUGUCACACCUAACGGACUAAGCAUUCCGCCUGGGGAGUACGGUCGCAAGAUUA